GGUAGAGACACAAGCAUGCGGCUAAUUUUUACUCAGCCUUAAAAUGAAGGAAAAGCAAUAUAGUUCAGAGUCAGGAUCGUGUGCGCCUUGGAAGGUUCUUGCAGGAGGUGGUGAAUCUGCUACCCUGGCUCAUUCUAGCGGCAGACGUCACAGAUAUCCAAGAAGUGCCUCUUGACAAAGCACUGAAGAAACACCAAGGCGGCAGUGAAGAAAGCACACUGGCCCCCAAUUUCACAGUCACAGCAACCAUCUUACAUAUUGAUAUCGUAUAUUAUGUGUUGCACAUGUACCACGAACACAGGAUCCUCACAUAAAGAAACAUCAGGCUUAAGGUGUGCUGAAAGUGGGGAAAGAAGCCAGGAUCACACGGACAAGGUGUCAUCUCGGAAUGAGAAUUCUGCUGCAGACAAUUCAAAUGAGAAUUUCAACAUACAGCCUACAACGAACACUGACGGGGUAGAGAUGAACCAGGAAAUUAGACUGUUGAGUCUCAUAGCAACUAAGCCACACUGCCUUCGUAAGUGAUGAACAGAGACUCUUCAGAUGGCAAGCUCAGCUCAUCGGAUGUGACACACUGUUUCCAUGGACUUCAUCCUGUAUUACAUGUACUACCUGCAUACACAGUCUGGCUGUUUGGUAUUUGUAGUGCAUAAAAAAAGGAAUUUCCCAAAACAUUAAACACAAAUAUACAAAGUGGCAGUCACAUAAUGACAUUAUCAUUUAAUAAAAGGAAUUGAUGA